rnacentral:rRNA from 1 species
AACGAACGCUGGCGGCGUGCUUAACACAUGCAAGUCGAACGUGAUUGGGAGCUUGCUCCCAUGAAAGUGGCGCACGGGUGAGUAACACGUGGAUAAUCUGCCUGGAGAUUCGGGAUAACACUUCGAAAGGGGUGCUAAUACCGGAUAAGCCCACGGACUCUUUGGAGUUUGCGGGAAAAGGGGGCCUCUGCAUAUGCUCCUGUCACCAGAUGAGUCCGCGGCCCAUUAGCUAGUUGGUAGGGUAAUGGCCUACCAAGGCAACGAUGGGUAGCUGGUCUGAGAGGAUGAUCAGCCACACUGGAACUGAGGCACGGUCCAGACUCCUACGGGAGGCAGCAGUGGGGAAUUUUGCGCAAUGGGCGAAAGCCUGACGCAGCAACGCCGCGUGAGUGAUGAAGGCCCUCGGGUCGUAAAGCUCUGUCAGAGGGGAAGAACCGCCGGGUAGCUAAUACCUGCCUGGUCUGACGGUACCCUCAAAGGAAGCACCGGCUAACUCCGUGCCAGCCGCCACCGUAACAC